rnacentral:rRNA from 1 species
AUGAACAGUUACCUGAGCAAGUGCUCCACCGCCGCAAUGAUGUUUGGGAUUGAUCUUAACAUGAGUCCUCCACAAGAUGAUGCCUCAGAACCUGCAGAUCAACAGGAAGAACAGAACAGUGAACAACAAUACAACAAUGAGGAACCAGUCAAUAAUGAAGCAACAUGGGAAGAAGCAAGUGGUGUAGAGGAACCAAUUCAUGAAGAAGCAAGUGGUGUAGAGGAAGCAAUUCAUGAGGAAGCAAGUGCUGUACAGAAACCAAUUCAUGAGGAACUCACAAAUGAGGAGAGAUAUGGUAUUUUUUUUGCACUCAUGGUGAUCAACACCCAAAAUGGACAAGUUCUGAAAAAAGACAAGCAGGUCAUUGCUAGCCUACUCGAUACAACCAUAAGAACUGUUGAGAGAAUAUGGGAAAGAGCUCUUAAACAGAUUGAAAAAGGGGAGAAAGUUGAUGUCUCAAAUCAAAAGCCAGGUAGAGUUGGCCGCAAGCGGAAAGAUUUGGAUCUGUCGAGGGUGGUGACAAUCCCAUUGAACAGAAGGAGAACAUUGCGAGGUCUGUCAAAGGCAUUGGGUGUAAGCUGCACGACCUUACACUCAAGGUUCGAGUGGGGUCAUUUGAGGCGUCACAGUAAUAAGUUGAGGCCCCACUUAAACCUGUCCAACAUUGUAAAGAGAUUGAAAUGGUGCUUGGCUAUGUGUGAAGAUUAUUGGUCUGCGACACGGGAAUUAGACAACAUAGCCUACAUGGAUGAAAAGUGGUUCAACAUGACUGGGGAGGUGAACAACUACUAUUUGCUUCCNNNNNNNNNNGCAGAAACACCCUUCGAGUACCAGCAGUCUCCAAGAAGCAGGAAAAGAGCAGCAACAACCUUCAAGCAGCAGGAAAAGAGCAUGAGCAGCCUCCGAGCAGCAGGAAAAGAGCAGCCACCUCCUUCAAGCGGCAGAAACACCCUUCGAGUACCAGUAGCCUCCAAGCAGCAGGAAAAGAGAACCAGGAGCCUUCAAGUAGCAAUAAAAGAGCACCAGCAGCCUCCAAGCAGCAGGAAAAGAGCAGCUCUUCUUUACUUGGGGUCAGCUAGUGCUACAAUCAACUGA